rnacentral:rRNA from 1 species
UACGUAGGCAGCGAGCGUUGUUCGGAGUUACUGGGCGUAAAGCGUGUGUAGGCGGAUCGUUAAGUGUCUUGUGAAAUCCCACGGCUCACCCGUGGAACUGCUGGGCAUACUGGCGAUCUUGGGCCAACUAGGGGCAACUGGAACAAGCGGUGGAGCGGUGAAAUGCGCAGAUAUCGGGAGGAACACCGGUGGCGAAGGCGGUUCUCUGGGCCUGUACUGACGCUGAGGAGCGAAAGCGUGGGGAGCGAACAGG